CAGGUGCUGCAUGGCUGUCGUCAGCUCGUGUCGUGAGAUGUUGGGUUAAGUCCCGCAACGAGCGCAACCCUCGCCAUUAGUUGCCAUCAUUUAGUUGGGCACUCUAGUGGGACUGCCGGUGAUAAGCCGGAGGAAGGUGGGGAUGACGUCAAGUCAUCAUGGCCCUACGGUUUGGGCUACACACGUGCUACAAUGGCGGUGACAGUGGGCAGCCACUCAGUAAUGAGGAGCUAAUCCCAAAAAGCCGUCUCAGUUCGGAUUGAGCUCUGCAACUCGAGCUCAUGAAGUCGGAAUCGCUAGUAAUCGCGGAUCAGCACGCCGCGGUGAAUACGUUCCCGGGCCUU
rnacentral:rRNA from 1 species